AACGUAGGAGACAAACGUUAUCCGGAGUUACUGGGCGUAAAGGGCGUGUAGGUGGUUUCGUAAGUCUGGCGUGAAAGAUUUCGGCUUAACCGGGACAGGUCGUCGGAGACUGCGAGGCUAGAGGACGGUAGAGGCGUGUGGAAUUCCGGGUGUAGUGGUGAAAUGCGUAGAGAUCCGGAGGAACACCAGUGGCGAAGGCGACACGCUGGGCCGUACCUGACACUGAUGCGCGACAGCAUGGGGAGCAAACAGG
rnacentral:rRNA from 1 species